GCCUGGGUGGCUCAGUGGUUGAGUGUCUGCCUUUGGCUCAGGGCAUGAUCCCAGGGUCAUGGGUUUGAGUCCCGUAUCGGGCU
rnacentral:tRNA from 1 species